AAACAGAAUCUGUGUUGGCGUGCAGGGAGCAGGCAGCGUCUGCAAAGUAGCGCUGGCAACCACAACAGAGAGGCCAGCAACAGGAGGAGCAGGAGGAGCCCAAUGAAGCGUGCUGUGGAGGACAAAGAGCAGCAGAGGCAGGAAGCAGUGACAAGGAGUGAGCUGGGAAAUUCCAGCUGCCCUCCUGUCCUACUUACAAGGAAUAGCCUGGAACAAGUACAGUUGACUCUGAACAAGUCAGGUUUGAACUGCAUGGGUCCACUCAUAUGAAGAUUUCUUUCAACGAAAGCUACCCCGAGUGUGCCUGCCUUUCCUGCCUCCCCUUCCACCUCCUGCACCUCUACCAUCCCUGCCACCCCUAAGACAGCAAGGCCAGUCUCUUCUCUCUCCCCCUCCUCCUUCAGCCUAUUCAACUUGAAGAUGACAAGGAUGAAGAGCUUUAUGAUGAUCUACUUCCCCUUAAUGAACAGCUGGAGUGCAAUGGUGUGAUCUUGUCUCACUGCAACUUCUGCCUCCCAGGUUCAAGUGAUUCUCCUGCCUCAGCCUCCCAAGUAACUGUGAUUUCAGGUGCCCGCCACUACACCCGGCUAAUUUUUGUAUUUUUAGUAGAGGCGGGGUUUUGCCAUGUUGGCCAGGCUGGUCUCAAAACUCCUGACCUCAGGAGUUCGGCCUCCGAAAGUGCUGGGAUUACAGGCAUGAGCCACUGUGCCCGGCCUAGAAAACUGGUGUUUCCAACAAGUCCUUUGGUGCUGCUGGUGCUACUGCGGGCCUUCUGAGGAGACUUUGAGAACCGCUGCAUCAGGAUUAUCAGCCUGGUAACUCCUGGCCGAAGAAAUGCACACCCUUCAUUUGGCUAAAAGAAAGAAUUUCCAAUAUUCAUAAAGAAAACACAACUUGUGGGUUCUCCAAGCAGGAGAGGAAAAAUCAUGUUCCAGUCUAUUCCUGUAACUAAUGAAGGGCUCAGGUUUCAAAGGUAAGUUAAUUGUCAGACCCACUUUAUUGUACCCAGUGUCCUUGGGAAACAUAAUUAUUUAUUGGAAAUAUGUCACAACUAACAUAAGUCUUAAAAAUUUGUUAAAUUAGAAACAAAAUAUUGUAUUUGCUGAUAUGUUAAAACAUAAGGGCC
rnacentral:lncRNA from 1 species